rnacentral:rRNA from 1 species
CCUACGGGUGACAGCAGUGAGGAAUAUUGGUCAAUGGGCGGAAGCCUGAACCAGCCAAGUAGCGUGCAGGAUGACGGCCCUACGGGUUGUAAACUGCUUUUAUACGGGAAUAACGCGCCUUACGUGUAGGGCUUUGCAUGGACGGUAUGCAUAAGGCCCGGCUAAUUCCGUGCCAGCCGCCGCGGUAAUACGGAAGGUCCGGGCGUUAUCCGGAUUUAUUGGGUGUAAAGGGAGCGUAGGCCGCAUGUCAAGCGUGCUGUGAAAUGUCCGGGCGCAACCCGGGCCUUGCAGCGCGAACUGGCGUGCUUGAGUCCGCGGAAGGCAGGCAGAAUUCGACGUGUAGCGGUGAAAUGCGUAGAUAUGACGAAGAACCCCGAUUGCGAAGGCAGCUUGCUGCAGCGGAACUGACGCUGAUGCUCGAAAGCGCGGGUAUCGAACAGGAUUAGAUACCCUUGUAGUC